GCCAGCAGCCAUAUCACCCUGUAGCUCUCAACUGCCUACCCGCUGAAGCUAAGCCGGGUUGAGUGUGGUCAGUACCUGGAUGGGAGACCUCCUGGGAAGCUAUGGUUGCUGCUGAAA
rnacentral:rRNA from 1 species